UACGAAGGGGGCUAGCGUUGCCCGGAAUCACUGGGCGUAAAGCGCACGUAGGCGGCUUUCUAAGUCAGGGGUGAAAUCCUGGAGCUCAACUCCAGAACUGCCUUUGAUACUGGCGAUCUUGAGUCCGGGAGAGGUGAGUGGAACUGCGAGUGUAGAGGUGAAAUUCGUAGAUAUUCGCAAGAACACCAGUGGCGAAGGCGGCUCACUGGCCCGGUACUGACGCUGAUGCGUGAAAGCUAGGGGAGCGAACGGG
rnacentral:rRNA from 1 species